rnacentral:rRNA from 1 species
UACGUAGGAGGCGAGCGUUGUCCGGAGUUACUGGGCGUAAAGCGUGCGCAGGCGGUUCGUUGUGUCGGCGGUGAAAGCCCCGGGCUUAACCUGGGAAUGGCCGUCGAAACUGGCGAACUGGAGUGUGGCAGAGGGGGGUGGAAUUCCGCGUGUAGCGGUGAAAUGCGUAGAUAUCUGGAGGAACACCGGUGGCGAAGGCGGCAUCCUGGACCAAUACUGACACUGAGGAGCGAAAGCCAGGGGAGCAAACGGG